rnacentral:rRNA from 1 species
AUUGAACGCUGGCGGCAUGCUUUACACAUGCAAGUCGAACGGCAGCGCGGGCUUCGGCCUGGCGGCGAGUGGCGAACGGGUGAGUAAUACAUCGGAACGUGCCCCGUAGCGGUGGCUAGCUCGGCGACAGCCGGAUUAAUACCGCAUACGACCUGAGGGUGAAAGCGGGGGAUCUUCGGACCUCGCGCUAUUGUAGCGGCCGAUGGCAGAUUUGCUCGUUGGUGGGGUAAAGGCCUACCAAGGCGACGAUCUGCAGCUGGUCUGAGAGGACGACCAGCCACACUGGGACUGAGACACGGCCCAGACUCCUACGGGAGGCAGCAGUGGGGAAUUUUGGACAAUGGGCGAAAGCCUGAUCCAGCAAUGCCGCGUGUGUGAUGAAGGCCUUCGGGUUGUAAAGCACUUUUGGCGGGAACGAAAAGGACUGUGCCAAUACCACGGUUCGAUGACGGUACCCGCAGAAUAAGCACCGGCUAACUACGUG